rnacentral:sRNA from 2 species
CCAAUAGCGUAUAUUAAAGUUGUUGCAGUUAAAAAGCUCGUAGUUGAACUUCGGGGUUUACCCAUUGGUCAGGCUUAAUUGUCUGUACUGGUGAGAUAAAUCUCUACCUUCUGAGGAACUUUCAUGUCAUUAAUUUGGUGUGAUUGGAAAUCAGGACUGUUACUUUGAAAAAAUUAGAGUGUUUAAAGCAGGCUAACGUCUGAAUACAUUAGCAUGGAAUAAUGAAAUAGGACGGACUGAUUCUAUUUCGUUGGUUUCUAGGAUCACCGUAAUGAUUAAUAGGGAUAGUUGGGGGCAUUAGUAUUCAAUUGUCAGAGGUGAAAUUCUUGGAUUUAUUGAAGACUAACUACUGCGAAAGCAUUUGCCAAGGAUGUUUUCAUUAAUCAAGAACGAAAGUUAGGGGAUCGAAGACGAUCAGAUACCGUCGUAGUCUUAACCAUAAACUAUGCCGACUAGGGAUCGGACGAAGUUAAUUUUAUAAUGACGCGUUCGGCACCUUACG